rnacentral:rRNA from 1 species
UACAGAGGGUGCGAGCGUUAAUCGGAAUUACUGGGCGUAAAGCGUGCGUAGACGGUUAUUUAAGUCGGGUGUGAAAGCCCCGGGCUCAACCUGGGAAUUGCAUUCGAGACUGAAUAGCUAGGGUACGGUAGAGGGAAGCGGAAUUUCCGGUGUAGCGGUGAAAUGCGUAGAUAUCGGAAGGAACAUCAGUGGCGAAGGCAGGUCUCUGGGCCACUACUGACGCUGAGAAGCGAAAGCAUGGGGAGCGAACAGGA